CUCCCUUCCAAGUGUUGGUGCAAUGAAACUGUGACUGUGUGCCAGUCUGUAUUACAGUGCUGUGUUUUUCCUUUUACAGAGGGCUCGACGCCAUACUGGAUCUUAAAGAACAGCUGGGGAACAGAUUGGGGGGAGAAGGGCUAUGUUCGCAUCUCCAGAGGGAGUAACGUCUGUGAGAUAAAUAAAUACGCAAUGUCAGCUGUCGUGUGAGGGAUGGAUAGCCAAUCUUCGUCAACCUCAGCGCUUUCAGCUUCUGGGAACAAGAGGGCUAUUUUCGGGGUACCCCUGCAAGGGCUGGGGUAUUAGGCCUGCUCCUGCUGACACCUCCCAGCCUGCACAAACAGGCCCCUCCCAGUCUCCAGCCGGCCCAUAGGAUUCGCCUGCCGCACAUUCCAGACUCAUCACCUGCAGCCUAUUUAGCCCUCCGCUCUCAUCCGCAGUCCCUGUUCACUCACGGAACAAGUUGGCCUCAGACAGCCGCUCCUAGCUUUCAUUCUGCUUGCUGAAAGUUCACCUUGUUGCCUGUUGCGUUGAGUUUCUGCUCUCUCAUGUGCAGUGGCCCCUUGUGGCUUGUUACUUUGCGGUCUAUUAUUAAAGCUAUCAUUGACCGCUGAA